rnacentral:rRNA from 1 species
UACGUAGGGUGCGAGCGUUGUCCGGAAUUAUUGGGCGUAAAGAGCUUGUAGGCGGUUUGUCGCGUCUGCUGUGAAAAUCCGGGGCUCAACCCCGGACUUGCAGUGGGUACGGGCAGACUAGAGUGUGGUAGGGGAGACUGGAAUUCCUGGUGUAGCGGUGAAAUGCGCAGAUAUCAGGAGGAACACCGAUGGCGAAGGCAGGUCUCUGGGCCGAAAUUGACGCUGAGGAGAGAAAGCGUGGGGAGCAAACAGG